rnacentral:rRNA from 1 species
AACCACAGUCCUAUCACCCUGCAGCCCAAGACCGGUUACUCACUGAAGCUAAGCAGGGCUGAGCUUGGUCAGUAACUGGAUCGGAGACCACAUGGGAAAACUAGGUUGCUUUUGGAA